UUUUCCACUUGCAUGUGAAGUAUGGAAAGUAUUUAACAUUUAAAUGGUACAAUGCUUGUUCUUACUUAUAUGAAAACUGUUUUUUUAAAUGUUCAUCCAGUAUGAGGGUACUGGAGCACAGACUUCAGGAGUCCUUUUUUUGGGACAGGCAACUACAGUCAGCCCCAAUAUUUGACUCUUUAAAUAAGACUUGCCUGCCAACUAUAGUGCAUAAAAAGGUUUUGGGUUUUGUUGACGUUGUGCAAAUCUCACCAAACGUGUGGGCACACGUAUCAUAGCAACCAUCACUGCAGACAUGGUGGAGGUGGCAGAGUUAAACACAUGAAAGAAUGUUUCUCCUGCUCACUGGUAACACGUUACUGUGAUGUUACUGCCUUUCCUGUAUUGCUCACAAGUGUUUUAAAAUCUGAUCUGAAGUAACUUCUCACCUGGGAAAGUGGAAAAAGGUGGGUUCCUCUCCCCCCGCCCUUCCCUCUUGGUUUCAUUUUUGCUGAUCUUCAACUAUGCUAGUUACGUGGAAAUUUGAAAAUAUUUAUAGUGCUAUAAUUAGGCUUGAAAAACUCAACUGGAACCCUUUAAAAUCCUCUAGAAUCCUGACGGCUGAACAGCAGGGUUUGUGGCUGGAAAAGGGUUGUGCAAGAGGUGUGGGAUUCUUGUUUCUUAGGAAACACAGAUUGGGAUAUUGUUAGAGGGAGGCUAGUUUUAAAACAAAACUGAUAUAGUUCUAUAAUUAGCUGGGAUUAGGCUUGGCUGGCUGUUGCAGGGAUGCCCAGCCUGGUAGUUAAGGUUACUUGGGUGGCUACACAUAAGCUUUUUUUUUUUCUGGAUGGAGAAUCUCAGACAAGCUGACUCCAGUGAACGUAGGUUUUCAUUGGAAUUGUCUGAAGGCCAGGAAUAAAGUUUAUUUAGGAUGGAGAACUGAGAGCCUAUGUGGUGGGGGGAAGGUAUGGCUUUUGGCUGAAGGGUUCCCAGGCCACAGCACCAACAAGUUAGCUGGAAGCCUGUAACCCUUCGUGCUAUUAAAGGCACUGGCCAGUGUUCUUGGUUGAGGUUCUGCAAGUUGAAUUACCGUGUGUAUAGCUUUACUCUUUUGUUUGGGGGGUGUUUACAUUUUUCUUCAAGGUGAAGAUAUCUUAUGUACCUACUGUAAAUAACAUGGAUUAGGAGGGAAUAUUCCGAAUCUCUGCAUCAUAAAGAAAAUGAUUUGCUGUGGGGUCCCAAACUCUACUUACUGAUGGCAGCCAGGUUGGCACGAAGGUUAUUAUGCUUAUAAAAAGCACACAAGAUCUUUUUAUGGGGGAAAAAGGCAACACGCCACAUUUAUUGAGAAUACAGCAGUUAGCAUAAGCUACACACACACAAACACACACUCUCUCUCUCUCUCCUGCCAGUUGAUGUUUGAUGCAGACUCUGGACUGCUAACUAUAAUCUAGUGGCCAGCCAGAUUGAUCGCAGAGGGGAGCUGGGCUCUGUCGGUCGCGAUCCGAUGCUCCUGGAGUGUGGCAAGUCAAACCCAAAGUUCCAUGGCAAAGCACCCUGUUCUUAUAGUCCUUUUUCUCCGUUGAAGUCUAUGGAUUUUGCUGUGUCAUUUAUGACUGGUUACUCCUUAAUUGGUGCUAUCUUUUGAUGUUAAUACUCCAACGCACCUCCAAGAGGGUCAUCCUGUCCUGGUUUCAAUUUAAUCAAUUAUCUUGUCUUUUAGGGGUGCCAGCCUCCACCACAGGGUCGUCAAUCUCCCCUUCCUUAAUUAUGGAUGCAUGUUGAUGGUUCUCUGCUGUCGUUAAGUCUCUUCACUCCUCCUUCCUUGACCAUCUGUCUUUAACAAUGUCCUUCACACCUUAUCUUUUCCUGAUGCAUACACUCCUCAUUCACACAAACAGUCUUUUACAGAGAUCUUCAAAGGUAUACAAACAUUGCUGUUUGUAUGUUGAGCAAAAAAGACAUUUGUAAAUUAAACCUUACUAAAUCUUGUGACCAAAACAGUUCACAAUGGGACCCAGGCCUUCAACAUACCUCUAAUCUCAUUAACAUAGACACAAGACAAGAUCCUGUCUCUUACUUACUAAACCUUAAAACAAAGAAAUGUAUAUUUAACUAAAGGGCCUAAUUUGUAAUGCAUAUAGGAAACAAGACCCCACAGUAAACAUUAUAACUUAUCCUAAAACAGAGGGUGACCAUAAUCAGCCAUAAGGACUGUUCUGGUCUGUUCCUGCCUUAACAUUAGUACAGACACUAGGAGUCUGUCAGAUGUGUUUCUACCAAUGCCCCUGAGGGUCAUUCCUUUUUUUCUAUUCAAAAAGGGUGGCUAACAGGAUGAUCAGAUCAUACAUUAAUACAUACUACAUUAUUAUAACGGUCAAUCAUUAUAACCUCUAAUACAAAUAUCAAAUCCUACUUCUACAAAGUGAUCAGCAAACUUCUACAAACUCUUAAUAAUAACCUUAGAGAAUUGUGCAAUCCUAGGUCCUAAUAUAGAGGUAGCUGCACCACCAGCUACCCUAUCUCCUCCUAGAGCUGGAAGGGACCUUGAAAGGUCAUCGAGUCCAGCCCCCUGCCUUCACUAGCAGGACCAAGUACUGAUUUUGCCCCAGAUCCCUAAGUGAUCCCCUCAAGGACUGAACUCAUAACGCUGGGUUUAGCAGGCCAAUGCUCAAACCACUGAGCUAUCCCUCCCCCCUUAAGAUUAAGGAACUCUGCUUACAGGCUGGGUCAAUCAGAGAGAAGUCCCUUCUGGUUUAAUUAAAUGCGACCUACAUUUUUGGGCUAUAUCCUCCUGAGGACUACAAACAAAUGCUGCCUGGCUGAGAGAAGGAUGGCUAAAGAUGAAGCCAUGCUGGAGUCAUUGGACUUGAUCCCAAUAUCUGGUUAUAGCCCUUGCAUAGCAGUGUCUUUUUCUGAAUGCAGAAUCCCCACUGCUUCUCCUGCUCUUGGUCCUCUUCAUGUUAUGAGGAAACCUGGUGGAUGCCAGAUUAGAAAAGAUCUUUCUGAUCUGGAGGAUCCACUUAAAGAAGUGACUGCUUGCUCAGUGGUGGCAGAGGAGAGGAAGAUCAAGGCUAUAAAAGGACAAAGCUCUCCUGUGGCUGUACCACAGGAACUGAGAAGCCUUUGGCACAAAACUAAUUCCUUAGCCCAGAAAAUAGACAGUGCAGAAAGCAAAGAAACAGUCCUACUGGACAAAAAACAUUGUCUGAGGACCACUUCCUGGUGGAUGGAUAGGUGGAAAAGAGCACGCAACAUGCACAUUCUGAGAAUUUCCAUGGACGACGUGACGUACCUGGGUUAAUGUCAAGGCUUUUUCAUAUGAAAUAGAGACUAGUUAGUACUCAGUUUGCAAUCUGAUUAGAAAAGACAGAGUUUCGGAGGAGGAACAAAAGCACAGAGAGGUGAAGUGAGUUCCCCCCAAGGUCACUCAGCAGAUCAAUUGCAAAGCUAAGAACAGAACCUAGGUCUUCUGACUCCGUCUAUGCCCUACCCACUCGCCCUUUUUAUUUUUAGAUUACAAGCUCUUUGUAGCAGAGACUCUAUUUUAUUCUGUGAUAGUGUGCAGUGACCAGAGCACAAAGAAGCCUUGAUUUUUGGUAGGGGCAUAGGGCAUUUUGCUACUGGAAAAUGAAUUAAAACCCUGGGAAACGGCACAUGACCCAAGUAAUUGGUUUAAGUCACUACUCACUUGUGAGAAACUGAUGGGAUUACUUGUGAGUAAGAUUUGGCAGAAGUGGGCCUGUUAUUUUUGGCUUCUAGAGUAGCUGAAUGAGAGGAUCUGCUCCUUUCCUGUCCCUGAUAAGGAAGCUGUGUUGUGAAGCCAAAGGGCAUGACUUUGAUAACAGCUUAAGGGUUUGUGUGUAUUGCUUUUAACUUGGCUAAUUGCUCUGUGUAACCAUAGAUUUUUUUCCACUCCGUGAUCUUUCUAUUUAGUACAACGGCAUUUCUCUGUACUGUGUGUAUUAGUGUUUUCCUUGUAAACCCCUCCUUUGUGGGAGUUCUGUAACUUGACUCUACAAUUCCCUUCAGGCUGGAAUUGGUAAAUAUACUGUAACCGAAGCACACAUUUAUUUUCUUUUGUUAAGAUGCUUUAGAGUUGUAGUUUAACAAGCUUCAGAAUGUAUUGAUACUUAAAUACCAACCUCAGAGGUGCCUUAAAAAUGUAAGAUGGGCAGACAAGGGACAGACACUUGUCUCUUUGGUCAAGUCAAUGAAAGACUAUACAGCUACUUCUUCUCUCGCUUACUUCUGUGUAAAUCAGGAGUAAUGCUUCCAAAAGAGAUGGAGUUACUGAUGGAAAAGCAAGUGUGAGAAGAGGAUCAGGUCCUGUAGGUUUAGGUCUUUAUGGUGUAGCUGGCUGCAACACUAUAGCUAAGGUCACAUUACAGAUUUGCCUUUUCCAGUAAUAAUAGUGAUAAUAUUACGUAUUCAUCCCUGAAUCAGUACUGAGAUCCAUGUAGGAACUAACAGGAGGUGAUUUGUAUCCUCCUCAUCUUGGUGAUUCUGGUGUGUGAUUGCAGAGUAUGUUCUGGGGAGGUAAUUAACAAUUUAAAUUUAAAAUAAAUCUCUAGAACUGUAAGGUGUGUGGGAAGGGUUGGGGUAGAGAGAAGAGUGCAGCUGAACUGAUGAAGCAGGAUUGUAGCUUUCAAUGGAAUGGCUAUAACGGGAAUGCAGUACAGGGAAUAGCUAGUGUUUUCAUGUUACUUUUCCAGUUUAAGAUUCUUCAGCUUUACUAAUAUGUUGGGCAUGAUCCUGCUUUCGUUAAAGACAAUGGAAGCUUGUUGCUGACUUCUAUAGCAGCAGGAUUGGGGUCAUUAUCAUCACAGCCUUCAGAAUAUAGGCUAUUGUAUGUAGUCUGAGUGUCUCAAUCUAUACAAUUGGCUCUAAGAUCAUGCCUUAAGCAAACUCUGUAGCCUGGGCUACAUUCACAUAUGUCCCUGAUACUUCAAAGAUUUAAACACAUGCUUUAUGCACUGUAAGUAAGUCCUAUUGACUUCAGUGGUGGCUACAGUUAAGCUUGUGCUUGUUUAGUAAUAAAAUUUUUCCUUGUGUACCUGAAUUAAUUUUGUUAGCAAAAUAAAUCUCUGCAGCUACUGGCAAUACUUAAGAUGUAUUGCAACUCAAUGAACUUCUGCAUUGCCUCUGUUUUGUAUAAAAAUCAUAACGUUCAUUCAGGAACUGAAAUAGGCAGUUGUUUUACUUUUCAGAUGAAGAUCAUGCAGAAAUGAAUUGAGAGUCGCUUUGGCAGAGCUCCUUUCUAAACAAGGAAUGGAGGCAAUGUGACUGGGCAUCAUGAGUGGAAUGUGUCCUAGCUUCCAUGUUCCAAAUGGCUGGUUCAGGAGGCAUGUGCUGGGAUGCAGUUUUUGUUUGUUUGCAUGGAGAUCUGCACUUUUUUAACUUCAUUUUUAAAACCGUCUGUGAAAACCCAGAACCUCUCUGGCCAUAUGACAUCACUGGAGCCUCUAGGUGUUGAGUCAUCAUUAUUUUUAGGAAGUGGCACACUUGUUUUGUUCUAAUAAUAGUAUUCAGGCCUGGACUCUGUGGAAAGUCACCCCAGCAAAGAUGAAGUCACCACUCCAAGCUGGAAUGGAAUGCAGGCUCCAUUCCUGACUUCCUGGUACACUUAUUGUUGCUUUAUUUUACUUUCAUUUUUUCUACCUUUUAAGGUUGCCUGUUUGUUGGUGUGAUAACACUAUCUGAAACUGCCACUUGAAAUGGCGGGAUGUUUUGUGUUGUGAGAUUUUUACCCUAGUCUGUAUAUAGCAGAACAUAACAUGGUAUGAAUGUGUUAAUCCAUUGCUUGGUAAAAAAAAAAACCUUCUCCACAGGAUAUGUACUAUAUAGGCAGCUAUCUAUA